AGCGAACGCUGGCGGCAGGCCUAACACAUGCAAGUCGAGCGGGCCCUUUCGGGGGUCAGCGGCGGACGGGUGAGUAACGCGUGGGAACGUGCCCAUCGGUUCGGAACAACCCAGGGAAACUUGGGCUAAUACCGGAUACGCCCCUCGGGGGAAAGAUUUAUCGCCGAUGGAUCGGCCCGCGUCUGAUUAGCUUGUUGGCGAGGUAACGGCUCACCAAGGCGACGAUCAGUAGCUGGGUCUGAGAGGANGAUCAGCCACACUGGGGCUGAGACACGGCCCAGACUCCUACGGGAGGCAGCAGGUGGGGAAUAUUGGACAAUGGGCGCAAGCCUGAUCCAGCCAUGCCGCGUGAGUGAUGAAGGCCCUAGGGUUGUAAAGCUCUUUCGCACGCGACGAUAA
rnacentral:rRNA from 1 species